UACGAAGGGGGCUAGCGUUGCUCGGAAUCACUGGGCGUAAAGCGCACGUAGGCGGAUCGUUAAGUCAGGGGUGAAAUCCUGGAGCUCAACUCCAGAACUGCCUUUGAUACUGGCGAUCUUGAGUUCGGGAGAGGUGAGUGGAACUGCGAGUGUAGAGGUGAAAUUCGUAGAUAUUCGCAAGAACACCAGUGGCGAAGGCGGCUCACUGGCCCGAUACUGACGCCGAGGUGCGAAAGCGUGGGGAGCAAACAGG
rnacentral:rRNA from 1 species